GACGAACGCUGGCGGCGUGCCUAAUACAUGCAAGUAGAACGCUGAAGGAGGAGCUUGCUUCUCUGGAUGAGUUGCGAACGGGUGAGUAACGCGUAGGUAACCUGCCUGGUAGCGGGGGAUAACUAUUGGAAACGAUAGCUAAUACCGCAUAAGAGUAGAUGUUGCAUGACAUUUGCUUAAAAGGUGCAAUUGCAUCACUACCAGAUGGACCUGCGUUGUAUUAGCUAGUUGGUGGGGUAACGGCUCACCAAGGCGACGAUACAUAGCCGACCUGAGAGGGGGAUCGGCCACACUGGGACUGAGACACGGCCCAGACUCCUACGGGAGGCAGCAGUAGGGAAUCUUCGGCAAUGGACGGAAGUCUGACCGAGCAACGCCGCGUGAGUGAAGAAGGUUUUGGGAUCGUAAAGCUCUGUUGUAAGAGAAGAACGAGUGUGAGAGUGGAAAGUUCACACUGUGACGGUAUCUUACCAGAAAGGGACGGCUAACUACGUG
rnacentral:rRNA from 1 species